UACAGAGGUCUCAACCGUUGUUCGGAUUCAUUGGGCGUAAAGAGCUCGUAGGCGGUCUGUUGCGUCGGCUGUGAAAACCCGGGGCUCAACUCCGGGCCUGCAGCCGAUACGGGCAGACUAGAGUUCGGCAGGGGAGGACUGGAAUUCCUGGUGUAGCGGUGAAAUGCGCAGAUAUCUGGAGGAACACCGGUGGCGAAGGCGGCAAUCCUGGACCAACACUGACGCUGAGGAG
rnacentral:rRNA from 1 species